CCGACGCUGAUCUUCUUCUCCAGCCAUCCGCCGACCUCCUGUUCUCCUUCCCCUCCCAACCCGCAGCCUCCUCAAUAUCCAACCUCCUACACCCGUAUCGUGCUUCUCUGCUUUGGAUCGAGUUGGCCGGAUCGACCCCAUGGCCGAUGCCAAGGUCGCCAGUCCAUCGUCCUGCUCCACUCGUGUGCGCCCUCGACGCCGACACCCUCUGAUACUCUUUGCCGCAGCCGCAGCCGUCGGCCUCCAUCACCACGCGCCCCCUUUGAGCACACUGGAUGCAAUCUCACAUGGCGCCGUCGUUCGCACUGUCUAACACCACCUACAGACACAGAAUGGCAGAUCAAGGUGUUUGAUGAAAUGCCCAACCACACCAACAACGCAAAUUUAGUUCUACAUGGUGGAAUCAAUGAGGUAGCAUGACCUUCAGCCUUCUACAAGAGUGGCGAGCUGGGAGCCGGCGAGGUAGGCGACAUCGUUGACGACGGCCGUCAUGGCCUCCACCUGUGCCCUCUUGCAGGUGGACUGCUGGUCAUUGAUGUGGCGAGUCGGGCUCUUGCAGCAAAAUCUAUGAUAUUCUCUGGAUGAGCUGCAGGUAGGCUAGGCUGUUCACGCGGAUCCGACAACGACCACCAAGGUACACAAACAACAAUGUAACAACUCUAGAAAUCUACAUCUUAAUACUGCCCUAUUUUCGGGGAUUCAAAUCUCCAGGCUGGAAUCAACAAGCCCACAUAAUCUUCAGUCUUCCACAAUUAUGUUUUGCUUCAUGUUCUAUGAUCAGGCUGUAAUCUGCUAGUGCGGUGCUGCCCUGCUUUGAUUUGGGGGUUCAUCUGGGAUCUAAUUUUGACCGAACAAAGCUGGUGGCUGACAGCUGGUGUCACCUGAUGGUACUGUGCUACGGAAAGAGAUGUUUUUCCAGCAAUAGAAGUGGCCAGUUAGUUAAGUUGAAGAUCUGUGCCAUCUCUUCUUCAGGCCUGUAGCUUGUGGUUUUAGUCAGAUAGUUAAAGUUGAAUUGUCUUGCAACAGCGAGUGACUGCUGGGUUAACUGUUUGUGGUUUCAGUCGGAUAGUUAAAGUUGCAUUUUCAGUCGGACACAUGCUUGUUGUUUUGCCUGCUUUUUUCUUGACUGCGCACUCUCACCGUUCGUCGUCGUGCAAUGUUGGAGUUAUUCAUGCGGUGGGGUGGAUGAAAGUUAGUACCAGACUAGCACUUUGGUUGUCCCUGUUUGGUGAUAAAAAGCUUUGACUGAAUAUUGAAUCAAUAAUGUUUCUUUUCAGCAAUCCUUCUGCUAUUGCCACUGCUUCCUUUCAUCAAGAUAUCUGUCCAUGCAUAUCUUCUUGAUGAACAAACAUAAAGCCUUGGAUGCCCAUAAAUAUGUUAGGUAUUCACCUCCGCUUACUGAACAUAUAUGUACUUACGUUUUUUAUAUGCUUCAACUCCAGCUAACAAUCUGCUGAUAAGAAAGCGGUCCCAACAGAUUUUAUGCAUUCAAAAAGCAUUCUAACUUUAUCAAACGAAUUAGAGGACCAAGCGUAGGUUUCAUGUACGUGUGAAUCAACCUCAAAUUGUACGUAGUCAUAUUAUCAGAAUUGGAAUAGAAAAAAGGGUGUACAGUAAAGUUAGUGUUACUUGAGAACUUAAUGAUGCCUUUGUAUUGUUCGAUGCAAAGAAUUUCAUUUUUAAGAAAAGGCUGGGACAUCUAUUGUUGUUUGUAUCUUAGUGUUACAAUGUAAAUCAUUUGUGGUAGCAAAUAUGUUAACCAGGGCGCAAGUAUGUGAUUCAUGUUGUAUUGUACUUAAAUCAGUUUUUAUAAGUCCACAGAACUAACUACAUGCUUCAUUUGGUUUUGUGUUGUUUCUUCUUUUUUUCUUUGUCACGGUGCUCAAUGCGAGUUUCAAUAUGAGCCAUCUCAAUUCUGAAGUCCAAACCAUGAAACCUCUUUCGGACUAUGAAGAUAUGAGUCGUUGGGCUUCCUUUCAAUCGGUUGGUGCCUCAAGAAGGCUCAAAUAGGGUGCAAGACUGAUUUGAGCUUCGGAUUUGUUGGCAAAUCGAGGGGAGGAGAAAUCAAAGUCAUGGAGAAAAAAUUCGACCCUAGAUCCCAUGGCCUCGAGUUGUGUGCAUGUGUGGUGCGACAAAUUGGCGCCCAUUUGGCGGCGAUUAGACACUAAGUGGUCAUGCAGGGACAUGUGAGGGACCCAUCCUACCUUAGUGGAAAAAGUCCAUGACACUCGGUGGAACAAGUCCAUGACAUUUGAUGUCAAUUGCGAGAUGUAGUAUGAUGGACGAAUGUAUAGGGUAUAGUUCAGAUCUUGAGCUAUGGUUACUA